rnacentral:tRNA from 1 species
GGAGAGGUGGCCGAGAGGCUGAAGGCGCUGGUUUGCUAAACCAGUGUAGGGUUCCCCCCUACCGAGGGUUCGAAUCCCUCCCUCUCCGCCA